CCUANGGGGGGCUGCAGUAACGAAUAUUGGGCAAUGGGCGAAAGCCUGACCCAGCGACGCCGCGUGGAGGAUGAAGUCCUUCGGGAUGUAAACUCCUGUCAGGGGUUAGAAAGUUCUGAUCAACCCCAGAGGAAGUGGCGGCUAACUCUGUGCCAGCAGCCGCGGUAAGACAGAGGCCACAAGCGUUAGGCGGAAUCACUGGGCUUAAAGCGUGUGUAGGCGGAACGUUGAGUGCUUUGUGAAAUCCCACGGCUCACCCGUGGAAUUGCUUGGCAUACUGGCGUUCUUGAGCCAUCUAGGGGCAGCUGGAACAAACGGUGGAGCGGUGAAAUGCGUAGAUAUCGUUUGGAACGCCUAAGGUGAAAACAGGCUGCUGGGGAUGUGCUGACGCUGAGACACGAAAGCCAGGGGAGCAAACGGGAUUAGAUACCCCANUANUC
rnacentral:rRNA from 1 species